UUACAGUAUGACAGAACUGCGGGGACGCAGAAGGAGAGCACUACCUGGAAUGGAAUCCAGGGGCAAGCACAGGAGGGGUACGGCUGGAAAAACCGCCGUGCAACCCAAAGGUGUGACGCAUACCGAACUAAAGUAGGGAAAUGUGUGAGCCGGCUGCCGAGAGAAGCCGCUAUUGUUUGUACUGUACCCGUACCGUAAACCGACACAGGUGAAUGAGGAGAGAAUCCUAAGGCCGACGGAAGAAGCAUUGCUAAGGAACUCGGCAAAAUGACCCUGUAACUUCGGGAGAAAGGGUGCCUCGAAAGAGGCCGCAGAGAAUAGGCCCAAGCAACUGUUUAGCAAAAACACAGGUCUAUGCAAAACCGCAAGGUGAAGUAUAUGGGCUGACGCCUGCCCGGUGCUGGAAGGUUAAGGGGAGAUGUCAGGAGACGAAGCAUCGAACUUAAGCCCCAGUAAACGGCGGCCGUAACGAUAACGGUCCUAAGGUAGCGAAAUUCCUUGUCGGGUAAGUUCCGACCCGCACGAAAGGCGUAAUGAUUUGGGCGCUGUCUCGGCAAUGCAUCCGGUGAAAUUGAAGUGCCAGUGAAGAUGCUGGCUACCCGCGCCAGGACGGAAAGACCCCAUGGAGCUUUACUCCAGCUUGAUACUGGGAUUCGGUAUUGUAUGUACAGGAUAGGUGGGAGGCUGAGAAAUGGUGACGCCAGUCGCCAUGGAGCCGCUGUUGGGAUACCACCCUUGCAGUACUGGGUUUCUAACCAGCAGCCGUGAUCCGGCUGGGGGACAAUGUCAGGUGGGGAGUUUGACUGGGGCGGUCGCCUCCGAAAGGGUAUCGGAGGCGCUCAAAGGUUCCCUCAGAAUGGUCGGAAACCAUUCGAAGAGUGCAAAGGCAGAAGGGAGCUUGACUGCGACACCGACGGGUGGGGCAGGUACGAAAGUAGGACUUAGUGAUCCGGUGGUAUUAAGUGGGAAUGCCAUCGCUCAACGGAUAAAAGCUACCCUGGGAUAACAGGCUUAUCACUCCCAAGAGUUCACAUCGACGGAGUGGUUUGGUCGAUGUCGGCUCAUCGCAUCCUGGGGCUGUAGUAGGUCCCAAGGGUUGGGCUGUUCGCCCAUUAAAGCGGUACGCGAGCUGGGUUCAGAACGUCGUGAGACAGUUCGGUCCCUAUCCGGCGUGGGCGUAGGAUAUUUGAGAGGAGCUGACCUUAGUACGAGAGGACCGGGUUGGACUGACCUCUGGUGCACCGGUUGUCAUGCCAAUGGCACAGCCGGGUAGCCAAGUCGGGAAGGGAUAAACGCUGAAGGCAUCUAAGCGUGAAGCCCCCCUCAAGAUGAGAUAUCCCCCGCAUAAGCGGUAAGACCCCUUGAAGACGACGAGGUAGAUAGGGCAGAGGUGGAAGUGCAGUAGUGUAUGGAGCUGACUGCUACUAAUAGGUCGAAGGCUUAGC
rnacentral:rRNA from 1 species